rnacentral:lncRNA from 1 species
UUAAAUAAAAGAAGUUCUCAUAUCUAUGCAGUCAACAUUCAUAUAAAUAAUCUUUAGAUUAUAAUUAUAGUACUUAUUUGAGAGUACAGCACUAGUAAGUAAAACUGUAACUGCAGCUGGUUUGGUUCAUUGGAGAUGGGUACGGCGGAUUUCCUGUGAUAUUGAGUUCCAAACAAGUAUCCCACUUUCACUUGGUGGACCUUAAGUUGUUGGCUCAUUUAUUGUUACUUACCCUUAUUACUUUAAUUUCUUAUGUAUCUUAGUCAAACAAAGAAACAAAAGAAUUUAUAUUUUUACUUACAAUGCUAUGAACUUAAGCACAAAUCACUAGUGUGAAUGAAUACUUUGUGUCUAGGAUGAAAAAAAAACUCAAAUCCGAGAGACCCACCUGAACCCAAACUCAAGUCAACGGGCGAAACCCGAUUUGACUGGGUUUGAGUUUGGGUUCGGGUGACACCCGAUAAUAUGAGUGUGGGUUUGAUAUCAGUCAAACCCACACCAGAAACCCAUACACCCACUCGAAAUAUUUUAUAAUUACUUAAUUACCCCAUAGUCUCCCUCAAUUUUCUUGGAAGACCUUAAAUUUUAGUUGUAAUUUAAUUUCUUGAAAGUCUAUGUUGUAAUUUCUUUAAAGUUUAUGUUUGAAUUUCCUUGGAAGACCUUAAUUUUAGUUGUAAUUUAAUUCAAAGUCUAUGUUGAAAUUUAAUUUUUUAAAUUUGCAAAUUAUUUUCAAAUGUGCUGCGGGUUUGAGUUUGGGUGGAAAAAACCUGAACCCAAUGGGUGUGGGCGUGUGGGUGUUGUUUUGCCACCCGAACAACCUUUGGGUUUGAGUUUAGGUUUGAGUGAUGAUUUCAAGUGUGUGUUUGGUAAGUGUCAAACCCGCACCCGUGGGCGCCCGUUGUCAUCCCUAUUUGUGUCCAAUUUAGCUCAAGUCACUCACUUGCCUUUAUUUGUCACCCUAAUGAAUAUUAAUGCAAUCAGAUCAAAUUAUCUUUGCAAGUUUUACAUAACCUUAAAGAAUUGGUCCACUAAGCAACUAGAAAAAGCCAAUUAUCUUCAUUUUUUUUUGUGGAGCAGUUGAGAAGCCUGCAUGACAUUAUUUAGCCAUAUGCAUAUGCAUCUCUAAUUUUUUUUUUCUAUCUUCUUCUUGUCUUUAGUUUGAAUAAUGGCAUCUUCCUCAAAAUGUAACUAAACUAUUCUAUUUCACAAGACAAAAAAGGAAUAUCAAAUUCCACCUACUCAUUUCCUAGAAGGCUCCUUCCACAUUUCUACUCUACCUCAUAACACAAAGCAAUCUUU